ensembl:lncRNA
AUGGCUUCUUCUAUUGAACAAGCUGUCGUGCCGUUAUCGGUCGAAGUAGGGCAUCUGGUAGGUGCUCACAAAGAACGGUAUUUGGUUGGAGAUCGCAGGAUUGGAUACCGACCCUUACCUUCUUCCUCCCUCCGUUUUCACGGACCUCUGGAUGCUUACCAGUUCUUUGUAGCUGGCUGGGUUACAGGUACGCGAUGCUACGCUCACGGCGGGGGGAGGUACCUCAUAAUGGCAAAGAUGGGGAUGUGAACAUGAACAAAAAGCCAGAGAGACGUAUGAGGCUUAUGCUGCACAACAGCAUCAGGACCUGAGUGUUUGUGACGCCGGUCUCCACAUUGAUCCCUCCCGUCCCUACCUUGGAGCAUCUCCAGAUGCUUUGCUGUCCUGCUCCUGCUGUGGCGAUGGCAUUUUGGAGAUCAAGUGCCCACACUGUGCCAAAGACACCGGAGUCCUCAGCGCCUCUGAAAAGAAACAUUUGUGAGUUGAGAACACAGAUGAUACAUAUGCACUUAACAGAGAUCAUCAGUACCACUACCAGGUGCAAGCCCAGUUGUUUGUGACGAGACGGAAGUUCUGCGACUUCAUGGUGUGGUCUACAUCCAAUUUUUUUCUUACAGAGGAUUUUGCCUGAUGCAGACUUUUUUACAGAAGCAGUGCAGAAUGUCGAGGCCUUCUAUAGGUCAGCCAUUUUAUCUGAGUUAUUGGCCAAGACACAUACAUGCCCAGAUAGACCGCUGUCAGACAAAACACAGUCCACAGACUCACAAGAAUUAGAGUAGUAGGGAUAACUAUAUGCUUAACCCUUAUUAUUUUAGUUUUUGAAGUGUUGUUAAUAACAAAGUGUUUAUGAAGAAUAAUUAAUAUGAUUUAAAUUUUGGUUGUGUGUAUGUAUGUAUAAUCAAACAACAGUACUCGUUACAUUUUACAUGUAAUAUUCAUUUAUAAAGGAAAACAGCAUGGUCAAAAGUUUGAGGGCUGUUUUUUUUUUUUUAGAAAAAAACCUUUCAACACGUUUUAAAAACCAAACCAAAAUUACGUCUUUACACCCAUAUAAAAUUUCCUUUUUAACUUUUGUCCU